UCAUAUGGUGAUAAUGGUCCCGAU
rnacentral:piRNA from 2 species